rnacentral:rRNA from 1 species
CACAGUCUCAGUUCAGAUUGUAGGCUGAAACUCGCCUAUAUGAAGUCGGAAUUGCUAGUAAUCGCGGAUCAGCAUGCCGCGGUGAAUACGUUCCCGGGCCUUGUACACACCGCCCGUCACACCAUGAGAGUCGAUAACACCCGAAGCCUGUAGUCUAACAGCAAUGAGGACGCAGUCGAAGGUGGGAUUGAUAAUUAGGGUGAAGUCGUAACAAGGUAAC